CCUAGUAACGGCGAGUGAAGAGGGAAGAGCCCAAGAUUGAAAGCUGGCGUCGUUUGCGGCGUUCCGCAUUGUAAUCUCAAGAAGCGUUAUCCGCGUCGGACCAGGUCCAAGUCUCCUGGAAAGGAGCAUCAUGGAGGGUGAAAAUCCCGUGCGUGACCUGGAGCCACCGAAGCACUGCGAUGCGUUUUUUCUCAGAGUCGAGUUGUUUGGGAAUGCAGCUCAAAAUGGGUGGUAAAUGCCAUCUAAGGCUAAAUACAGGGGAGAGACCGAUAGCGAACAAGUACCGUGAGGGAAAGAUGCAAAGAACUUUGGAAAGAGAGUUAAACAGUACGUGAAAUUGCCAGAAGGGAAGGGUAGGAAGUCAGAGAUGCGGGGGCGCGGUUCAGGCGUGUGUCUUUCGGGAUGCCGGCGAAGACUGCGUGACUCUGCAGGCCAACGUCGGUUCUGUGGCGCGGGAAAGCGGGGUUGGGAAUGUGGCAUCUUCUUCGGGAGGUGUGUUUAUAGACCGGCUCUUGGACUGGACCAGCGACUGGGACCGUGGUUUUGACAGUGUGAUGCGGCAGGGGAGCAAUCUGCGGCCGUGUUAGGUCUUCGGGCACUAUUCACACUGAGGGCGUUGGCUUAAUGGCCGUCUACCACCCGUCU
rnacentral:rRNA from 1 species